GACGAACGCUGGCGGUGUGCUUAACACAUGCAAGUCGAACGGCAAGGCCCUGCUUUUUUGGGGUUCUCGGGUGCCGAACGGGUGCGUAACACGUGAGUAACCUACCCUAGACUUUCGGAUAACUUCACGUAACUGGGCCUAAUCUCGGAUAGGAGCCCCCCCAGCAUUGAAGGGGGUGGAAAGUUUGAGCGGUCGGGGUUGGACUCGCGGCUUAUCGACUUGUUGGUGGGGUAGUUGCUUACCAAGGCUUUGACCGGUCGCCGGCCUGAGAGGGUGACCGGCCACAUGGCUACUGCGAGACGGCCCAGACUCCUACGUGAGGCAGCAGUGGGGAGUAUUACACAAUGAGACCAAGCCUGAUGCAGCAGCGUCGCGGGCGGAAUGACGGUCUUCGGGGUGUAAACCGCUGUCGCCUGUGACGAAGCGGGAGUGACGGUACUGGGUGAAGAAGCACCGGCUAACUACGUG
rnacentral:rRNA from 1 species